UCUGGAAUCACAAAACCUCAAUAUACAUGUGUUAUUUUAUUCAAAUGUAGCAGCGAUACAUUUUGACAAAAAAAUAUACAUAUAUUUUUUUGCUGUUGUUCUUCUCCAGAAUAGAUUUCCAUCACUUCAUUCAAACACAGCAUGAAAAAGUAGACACUAGUGACAGAGGGUUUGGUUUUGAGAUUAGUGACAAAAAUAUACCCAUUCACAAAAAUAUAAACUUGUUCACAGAUCUGUAAAAUUGCAGGCAAAAAAAAAAAGUUGAAUUAACUGUUUUAAACAAACAGAAAUAGAUUUCAAAUUUACAUUCACUCUUCCACAAGAAGUAUAAAAAGCAUAUAGCCUGGGUACCAACAUUCAUCUAGCCUGGGUACCAACACACAUCUAGCCUGGGUGCCAUCCCUCAUCUAGCCUGGGUGCCAACCCUCAUCUAGCCUGGGUAUCAACCCUCAUCUAGCCUGGGUAUCAACCCUCAUCUAGCCUGGGUACCAACCCUCAUCUAGCCUGGGUACCAACACACAUCUAGCCUGGGUGCCAUCCCUCAUCUAGCCUGGGUGCCAACCCUCAUCUAGCCUGGGUAUCAACCCUCAUCUAGCCUGGGUAUCAACCCUCAUCUAGUCUGGGUACCAACCCUCAUCUAGCCUGGGUACCAACCCUCAUCUAGCCUGGGUACCAACCCUCAUCUAGCCUGGGUACCAACCCUCAUAUCUAUAAACCAGCUAGGACUGACUGUCACCAACCAUCGGUCUGGCAAUAACAUCACUUUACAAAACAACACAGAACCAGCCGGGCACGCAAGCUAUUUAAAGUGAGUGUUAACAUUCAAACAGGUUCUACCAAGCCUCCUAUAAUGUACCACAUGAUAUCCUAUAGAUUGGGCAGGCUGAUUCGUCUGGAAUCAGAGAAUCAGAGACAGACAGGAGUGUUUCAUUCACUGGAGGGUGGCUGGGCUGGGUUUCUGCUGGGCUGGGGACUGGAGGGUGGCUGGGCUGGGUUUCUGCUGGGCUGGGGACUGGAGGGUGGCUGGGCUGGGUUUCUGCUGGGCUGGGGACUGGAGGGUGGCUGGGCUGGGUUUCUGCUGGGCGGCUGGGCUGGGUUUCUGCUGGGCUGGGUUUCUGCUGGGCUGGGGACUGGAGGGUGGCUGGGCUGGGUUUCUGCUGGGCUGGGGACUGGAGGGUGGCUGGGCUGGGUUUCUGCUGGGCUGGGGACUGGAGGGUGGCUGGGCUGGGUUUCUGCUGGGCUGGGGACUGGAGGGGGGCUGGGCUGGGUUUCUGCUGGGCUGGGGACUGGAGGGUGGCUGGGCUGGGUUUCUGCUGGGCUGGGGACUGGAGGGGGCUGGGCUGGGUUUCUGCUGGGCUGGGGACUGGAUGGUGGCUGGGCUGGGUUUCUGCUGGGCUGGGGACUGGAGGGGGGCUGGGCUGGGUUUCUGCUGGGCUGGGGACUAGAGGGUGGCUGGGCUGGGUUUCUGCUGGGCUGGGGACUGGAGGGUGGCUGGGCUGGGCUUUUUUGUUUUACUGGCUGGGGUGUCUAGCGUAAACAAACAAAUAAAG